GGAAGAUGUUCUAUGUUUUAAUAAAAAAAAUGUUUUGUUUACUUUUAAGGAUGCUCCAAAUGAAGAUGCUUCAUGUUUUUGUCGCCCUGUUAUUUUUGAGCGGCAUAUCCAAAGGAAGAAGUGAUGAAUUUGAAAUAACGUACCCUGAACGGUUACACCAUUACCGACAUAAAAGAGAUCUCUCCACGGCUACCGAGAAUGGACAACACGAGCAUCGCGCAA